UACGGAGGGUCCAAGCGUUAUCCGGAAUCAUUGGGUUUAAAGGGUGCGCAGGCGGUAAAGUAAGUCAGUGGUGAAAUCUCUCGGCUCAACCGAGAAACUGCCAUUGAUACUGCUAUACUUGAAUAUAGUCGAAGUGGGCGGAAUGUGACAUGUAGCGGUGAAAUGCUUAGAUAUGUCACAGAACACCGAUAGCGAAGGCAGCUCACUAGACUAACAUUGACGCUCAUGCACGAAAGCGUGGGGAGCGAACAGG
rnacentral:rRNA from 1 species